rnacentral:rRNA from 1 species
AGCGAACGCUGGCGGCAGGCCUAACACAUGCAAGUCGAACGGAUCCUUCGGGAUUAGUGGCGGACGGGUGAGUAACACGUGGGAACGUGCCCUUUGGUUCGGAACAACUCAGGGAAACUUGAGCUAAUACCGGAUGUGCCCUUCGGGGGAAAGAUUUAUCGCCAUUGGAGCGGCCCGCGUCUGAUUAGCUAGUUGGUGAGGUAACGGCCCACCAAGGCGACGAUCAGUAGCUGGUCUGAGAGGAUGAUCAGCCACACUGGGACUGAGACACGGCCCAGACUCCUACGGGAGGCAGCAGUGGGGAAUCUUGCGCAAUGGGCGAAAGCCUGACGCAGCCAUGCCGCGUGAAUGAUGAAGGUCUUAGGAUUGUAAGAUUCUUUCAGCGGGGACGAUAAUGACGGUACCCGCAGAAGAAGCUCCGGCUAACUUCGUG